rnacentral:rRNA from 1 species
CCUACGGGUGGCAGCAGUGAGGAAUAUUUGUCAAUGGCCGGAAGGCUGAACCAGCCAUGCCGCGUGAAGGUCAGUGCCCUAUGGGCGUUAAACUUCUUUUGUGCGGGAGCAAUAAUGGUCACGUGUGGCCAGACGAGUGUACCGUACGAAUACGCAUCGGCUAACUCCGUGCCAGCAGCCGCGGUAAUACGGGGGGUGCAAGCGUUAUCCGGAUUUAUUGGGUUUAAAGGGUGCGUAGGCUGGGAGGUAAGUCAGCGGUGAAAUGCCCCCGCUCAACGGGGUGAAGUGCCAUGGAUACUGCCUGGCUGGAAUGCAGAUGCGGUGGGAGGAAUGUGUUGUGUAGCGGUGAAAUGCAUAGAUAUCACACAGAACACCGAUUGCGAAGGCAUCUCACGAAUCCGCGAUUGACGCUGAUGCACGAAAGCGUGGGUAUCAAACAGGAUUAGAUACCCUAGUAGUC